ACUGCUCAGUAACACGUGGACAACUUACCCAAGAGUCCGGGAUAACCCCGGGAAACUGGGGAUAAUACCGGAUAGAUCAUCUUUGCUGGAAGGCUUGGUGGUUGAAACUUCCGGGGCUUUUGGAUGGGUCUGCGGCUGAUUAGGUUGUUGCCGGUGUAACGUACCGUCAAGCCCGUAAUCAGUACGGGUUGUGGGAGCAAGAGCCCGGAGAUGGAUUCUGAGACACGAAUCCAGGCCCUACGGGGCGCAGCAGGCGCGAAAACUCUACAAUGCAGGCAACUGCGAUAGGGGAACAUCGAGUGAUCCUCAUAUUGGGGGUCUGUCCACCUGUCUAAAAAACGGGUGUUAGCAAGGGCCGGGCAAGACCGGUGCCAGCCGCCGCGGUAAUACCGGCGGCUCGAGUGGUGGCCGAUAUUAUUGAGUCUAAAGGGUCCGUAGCCGGCUUUGCAAGUCUCUCGGGAAAUCCAGCGGCUUAACCGUUGGUCGUCCGGGGGGUACUACAUUGCUUGGGACUGGGAGAGGUAGGAGGUACUCAGGGGGUAGGAGUGAAAUCCUGUAAUCCUUUGGGGACCACCGGUGGCGGAGGCGUCCUACCAGAACAGGUCCGACGGUGAGGGACGAAAGCUAGGGGCACGAACCGGAUUAGAUACCCGGGUAGUCCUAGCCGUAAACGAUGCUCGCUAGGUGUCACAACAGUCGUGAAUUGUUGUGGUGCCGUAGGGAAGCCGUGAAGCGAGCCACUUGGGAAGUACGACCGCAAGGUUGAAACUUAAAGGAAUUGGCGGGGGAGCA
rnacentral:rRNA from 1 species